GUCAGGAUGGCCGAGCGGUCUAAGGCGCUGCGUUCAGGUCGCAUUCUCUCCUGGAGGUGUGGGUUCGAAUCCCACUUCUGACA
rnacentral:tRNA from 1 species